AGUGAACGCUGGCGGUAGGCCUAACACAUGCAAGUCGAACGGCAGCACAGUAAGAGCUUGCUCUUACGGGUGGCGAGUGGCGGACGGGUGAGGAAUACAUCGGAAUCUACUUUUUCGUGGGGGAUAACGUAGGGAAACUUACGCUAAUACCGCAUACGACCUACGGGUGAAAGCAGGGGAUCUUCGGACCUUUCGCGAUUGAAUGAGCCGAUGUCGGAUUAGCUAGUUGGCAGGGUAAAGGCCCACCAAGGCGACGAUCCGUAGCUGGUCUGAGAGGAUGAUCAGCCACACUGGAACUGAGACACGGUCCAGACUCCUACGGGAGGCAGCAGUGGGGAAUAUUGCACAAUGGGCGCAAGCCUGACCGAGCCAUACCGCGUGAGUGAAGAAGGUCUUCGGGUCGUAAAGCCCUUUUAUUGGGAAAGAAAAGCAGUAUGUGUAUCCCUGGAUGUUCUGACGGUACCCAAAGAAAAAGCACCGGCUAACUUCGUG
rnacentral:rRNA from 1 species